rnacentral:rRNA from 1 species
AUUGAACGCUGGCGGCAGGCCUAACACAUGCAAGUCGAGCGGAUGAGGGGAGCUUGCUCCUGGAUUCAGCGGCGGACGGGUGAGUAAUGCCUAGGAAUCUGCCUGGUAGUGGGGGAUAACGUCCGGAAACGGGCGCUAAUACCGCAUACGUCCUGAGGGAGAAAGUGGGGGAUCUUCGGACCUCACGCUAUCAGAUGAGCCUAGGUCGGAUUAGCUAGUUGGUGGGGUAAAGGCCUACCAAGGCGACGAUCCGUAACUGGUCUGAGAGGAUGAUCAAUCACACUGGAACUGAGACACGGUCCAGACUCCUACGGGAGGCAGCAGUGGGGAAUAUUGGACAAUGGGCGAAAGCCUGAUCCAGCCAUGCCGCGUGUGUGAAGAAGGUCUUCGGAUUGUAAAGCACUUUAAGUUGGGAGGAAGGGCAGUAAGUUAAUACCUUGCUGUUUUGACGUUACCAACAGAAUAAGCACCGGCUAACUUCGUG